AUACACCUAGAGGUAGAAAUAUCAAAAGCGCUUAUUAGAUGUUAUUAGAUAACAUUGCACCUCCUAUUACUAUCCCCGCCCAAAGAACCACUUUUUUCACAGGUAAGCUGGAGGGCUAGCUAUGGCAUGUAGAGUCAAUGGAGACUGAAAACAAGCAUGGACAAAUGAAAUAUUGUCUCGGCCAAUUAAUGCUGAUUGGACAAUACGAGUAAUGGGACUUGGAUCAUCUCUUUAUUGGUUCUGACCAAAAGUAUUGAAGGCUCACAAGACAAGUCAAAUAACCAAACAUGCACAUUAAUCAUACUGGAAGCAUCGACAUUUCCUUCUAAACCUUGUUUGAGUAAUGAUGAAAAGAAAAGCACCAAUGGCUCCCAGAUAUCCUUCAUGACGUAAAAACAAUGCUUGCUGAGCAUCCUGGGAAACAAAAAAACAACAUUUUAGCUUGCAGCUUGCAACUAACGGGCGUAAAGUGAAGCUAUCUAUGAGAACAGAAAACAACAAAUAGAGAGAAAUCUUCUAAAUCUUUUAUGGAAAUAACUGAAUCAUUGUUUUACUGGUACUUGGCAGAGUGGACAGAGUAUCGGCCAUUUCUUACCUGAGCGAUAUCAUUACUAAUCAUCUGCAGUAAACUCUUUGCAAUGUCACACUCUGCAAACUUGUGACCUGAAAAUAAGGAAAAAAACAAAGCGAUUGCUGAUGGAUCAUAUUCAGAAUUUUUUUCAGACAUCAUCACAUACAUGUAACCUAUAUUUCAUUUGGUUUCUUCUACAUAUUUCUAACAAUAAUUUAUUACCCAAGGUUUUGGGUCUUUGAUUAAUGCCCAAGCUCAUACCACAGGGAGCCCAAGAGGCUGAUAAAUAAACAUCUUCUCACAAGAUAUUUUCUUUAGUUUGAAUACUCUUAAAGUGAACGAAACUAACUCAACUAACCAUCU